AGAUGCGGUGGGGUUGGGGGGACCGGCGCAGAGGCUGAGCAGGAGGAUGUUACUGGAGGAGAUUCUGCUGGGGAGGGUCACCCAGCAGCCGGGACCUUCCCUUGGAGGACGCAGCACCGGAAGAGCAAUUAGGGACAGCCCCGCCCCCACGCCAGUCAGGCCCGCCCUACUGACCCCAGCCAAAGCUCACCCUGUCGCCCUGGCCCUCCACUCACUGCUUUCCCAGAGAGUGCGGGGUCCCUCAGGGAGCCCUGAUGGCCAGCACCACACCACCUUCUGGCCUUCCUGCCCCCUGGGCCUCCGGUGGUGCCGGGCCACUUCUCCUCAGCCCGCCUCCUUCCUCAGUCUGGUUCCUGCUUUCGUUUUCCUGCGCUUGUUUGUUUUAGCAGAGAUGCCUCCAGAGAGCAUCAGCUGCAGACUUUCUUCUGUCCCGCGACAGCUCCAGGGGUCGUCCCCGGCUGCCCGCCGCCUCCUCUGAGGACUGGAGUGAGGACUGGACAGCACAGGGCCGCCUGUGCCUCUGGACACCUGGACGCCGCUGAGGGUGCGCCCUGCCCCACUUGGAGGGGCAGCCAAAGGGCAGUUUUCUCCUUGGGGACCAGAGGCAGAUUCGGGGCAUGCCCAUGGAUUCCUGUCCCGAGGAGGAAGGUGCGGCCCCUGCCAUCCCCCCGCUGAAGGCUGGCGAGAAGUACCACCUGUUCGUGAGUUACAGCAGCGUGGACGCCGCGUGGACCCACGGGCUCAUCAGUCGCCUGGAGGUGGACCACGCAGGGCUGAAGGUCUGCCUGCAUGAGCGGGACUUCAUGCCGGGCAGGAACGUUCUGGAGAACAUGGCCGAUUGCAUCCACCAGAGCCAGAAGGUGCUGCUGGUCCUGAGUCAGGACUUCGUGCAGAGCCGGUGGUGCUUGCUGGAAGCCGACCUGUCCCUCUUUGGCUCCUGCCUGGAGCAGAAGCCGGUCAUCCCGGUCCUGCUAAGGCCCUGCCAGGUCCCGCUGCACCUCAGCCACCUGACCUAUCUGGAGGCCACGGAUGGCCGCUUCUACCACAAGGUGGUGCGGCUCCUGUGCACACCCAACCAGCGCGUGGCACGCCCCCUGGGCCUGCGCUCGGCCCCCUCCCUCUACAGCGGGAAGACCCUGCUGACCCUGGACUGCAUCAACAGGGAAAGCCUGUCCUCCUGGAGAGUGGGCACCUUCAGCACCCUGGCCGUCCCGGACCCCUUGAAGCCGGUGCUGGAGGACCCCGAGGUGUACAGGCAUGCUGUGGGCAUCCUGAAUGGGGUGCAGUCACCCCGGUCCUGCCUCCGGUACCUGGGCUGCAGGAUCACACUGGGCAUCUUCCUGAUUCUCCUCUCCUUAGCAUCAAUCUUCCUCCCUUUGGUUUUGGGGCUCUCGCCAAACCAACCUCCUCAGCGGCUCCUCCUGAUCACUGCCAACAUAUUUUUCUGCCCCUUCUUUAUGAUCUUAGGCAUUAACACUCUGUGCUGGUUCAGAAGGUUUUCUAAGAGGAAGAUGCGGGAGCUGGAUCUCAGGGUGGGUGAGGCCAACCUGCUGCUGGCGCCCCACUCGGUGCUGAUGGGCUGCAAGACCAUGAACAAGCUCCACUUCGUGUAUGUUGUGCUGGGGGACUGCAGGGAGGCCUUCCUGGAGGCGCCGGGCGGCGAGGCCCUGUUCCGGGAGGCCCUGGUGCAGUUCUCGUCCAGCUACGCCUGCUGCCUGGCCCAUGCGCACUUCCCCGACUCCGAGGAUGCUCCCGGGGCUCCUGGCCACCUGGAACUGGGCCUGUGCUUCUGCCGGUUCGUCUCUCUGCAGCUGAGGAGACAAGGGUGGCUCAGGGUUCCCCCUGUGUGACGGCUGGAGGGGCCUGGGGGCAGGGCCUGUUUUUGGGCGUCCAGCUGCCACUGAGCUGGCCCUGCAGACUUGGCAGCAGUGAGCUCUGGGUGGCGCACACAGGCCUGCCCCCUUCAUCAGCUGUGCCAAGCCGGCCGGCCCUGAGGCCCCUGCAGCACCCAGAGGACCCACAGGCUGCUCUGAGGGUAGAGGUUACCAGCAGCAGCCCCUCAGGCCUGGCUUCCUGCUCCAGCCUGACAGUCUGGGGAGGAGGGCUUUGUCAGUCUACCUGGGAGGAGGCGGGGGAAGCAGUGGUCUUGCUGUGGGACCCUCGGGAGACAGUCACUGCCCCUCUCUGGAUGGUCAGUGCAUGUCCAGGGGCCGGGGCGGAGUGCGCUGGCUCCCUGGGCCCCCUGAAUAGCUUCUCCAGGAACCUGCCCCCGUUGCUGGGACACAGAUCAGAUGGACUCCGAGGGACCUGGGUUGUUCACCCUCAGCCACACACACACACACACUGUGCGCCUGCCGUCCGUGCUGAGAGCCCAUGGGGGCCAGCCACAAGCCAUCCUCGGCUGAAAACAGCCUGCGUUUGUCCUCAGUGCGGAUAUCUGCUGGUCAGACCCGGAUGGACUCCAGACUGGGUGGGUGCUGUGUGCUGCCUGCCUCCCCUCUGGCUCUGUCCCAGCUCCUGAGACGCAGACCCUGGGUCGCUAUCCUUCCCCUUCUGGAGGAGAGCGAGUCUGGGGCUGCAGCAUGGCCUCCUGCAGUCCAGCAGCGGAGCCUGUCCGUCCACAAACACUGCCCCUGAAGACAGGCCUCUGAGCUCCGAGGUGGUGGCGCUUCUGCUGAGAGAGCGGCAUUUGAGGGGCACAGACGUGACCUGAUCCUGGGUGUGGGGGCCCAGCAGGAGUGUCUCCUGAGAGUCCCAGUUGCGCCCUUACCAAUCCGUAGAUGAGCAGCUGGCGGAUUGCAAGUCUGGUGCUGGGCAGAUGUUCCCAGGUGUUGUGCUGGCCAGAGCUUAGCUAAGCAUCUGCGUGGUGUCUCUGCCUCACCCAUUUCCCAGGUGCGGGCCCUGGACCGCAGCUGCAGAAGCACAGUUUCUUCCGUGGUCUGCUCUUGAACUUGGCUCACCAUCCAGCACCCUGGGCUUCUCUUACCAAGUGUUAAUCAAGCUGAAUCACAAGGCGACUGUCCUGCUGAAGGCAGCACUGGCCCGCUCUGUCCUGGGGUCAGGGCUGCACGGAGAGGAUCUCCCUCCAGAGGAGACUGAGCAGCAGGCAACAGUGAGAGAGGCAAAGGGGGGGCGGUUCUGGGCGGGGGUCCGCACCAGCAAUGGCACCAGACAGGAAUCUGGUCACAGUGAGAAGCCUGAACCUCGGUGGCCCCAAAGAUGGGCCCUGACACAGCCUCUCUGUGGCUGGUGGGGCCUGGCACUCCUGUACAUGAAGGGCUGGGGGCUGACGGGGAAGCAGCAGGGCCAAGACAUGACCACAGGCCCUGCCCCAGAGUGGGCACCUGUGAGCCCCAAAGCCAUCUGGGCCCCACGUGGAGAAGAGCCUCUUGUAGCAGUGGAGGCUCCGGCUCCCUUCCAGGGUCCCCCUGGACUCCGCUGGGUCCUCCAGCCUCUGCAAAGUCUGAGUGUGGGACCACCCACCCAGCUUCCGGGUCAGAGCUGGCUCCUAGACGGCACAGGUGACACCCACAGACAUGGAGGAGCCGACUUGAGGCCACACCUGCCCAGGCCGAGGGUCCACUCAGUGCUGAGUGCAGCUGGAUCAGAGAGCACUGGAACCUCGCAUGCAGAGCUGGGCAACUGGUCAGCCUUUCAGGGCCAGACUCCUGGCUGCAUCACAGGAAGCCCUGGGAGGCCAUGCUGGGGCUGGGGGUUGGGGGCGGGGGUGGGCAUGGCCUCGCUGUGCACGCGCAGGCACGUGCAUGGGCUCCUUGGGCAUGCUGCUGACAACAGUGGCAUUCCUGCUCGGUGGUGCCCAGCGGUGCAUCUGAAAGGGGCAGGGAGACAAAAGGGAGGGCAGAGGUCUCUCUUCAAAAGGCCAAGAUUUUUCAUCAUGAAAUAGCAUAUUUGUGCAGUCAGAAAGGAGAAGCAUUAGAGGAGCCAUUCUGCUCUCUCACACAGGCUGUUGGGAAUCUAAGCCCCCUUUGAACUGAGCCUAGGACAGUGCCUCAGUCAGCCUUGCUCCAGUGCCCCUGGCCUGGCCAGCCCCGCAUUGCUGCACAGAUCCCCCACUGGGGCAGGCAGUGUCGGCUGUGGGGGAUGCUAGACCUGGAGGAGUGGCACCCCAGAGUGUCCACCAGGCUGGCCACCCCCUUGCACCCACUCCAAAGCUGCAUGACCCAGGCCAAUGGCUCCAGAACACAGGGACCCCAGCCCACCCUCCAGGGCCUGGACCCAGGGCUGUCACACUGCCUGCUCUGGCCCCUUGACCUCGCCACCUGCAUGAGAGGUCAGUGGUUGGGGGGGGGGGCGCGGUCGGACAGGGCCCUGCAUACCUGCUGCAGCAGGAGCAGCGGCCUUCACGGUGGAGUGCCUGACCUCCACCAUCCGCCCCAGGACAGGACCCCAAAUCAUCACCCUGGACAGGUGAGGAUGGAGGUGCAGGCUCCUCUGUGCUUCUCAUGGACCUGGGAGCUCCACCCCCUGCAGACGCCCCAAAAUGCCUCUCCUCAGUCUUGGGCUGGUUUUCAGCAGGGUGACCCCAGGCAGGUGGGGCUGAGGCUCUAACCAGUGCUGGGAACCCCCUGACAAGGCUGCUGGUCACCAGGGGUCAGGCAGCUAUCCCAGGCUCACUCUCAGACCUGGAGCACCACCCCCUGGUGUUCACCCCAGGGCCUCUGCAGCAACCCCUCCCUUGGCCGCGUGGGUUUCCUGUGAGAGGAGAGUGAGGUCCCCACGACGUGGCUGCUGUGCCCUGGUGACCUCAUCACAGCUUGGGCCUGGAUUUAGCAGGAGUGACUAGGGCUCUGAGUAGACAGGCCCCAGGGCCCUACUUCCACUGCCCCUCCACCUGGCUGGGCUCUGCCUUGUGGGUCAGGUGAGCCUCACUAUGGACAGUGGGGAUGGGCCAGAGCUGGCCUCGCCACCAUCCUCCUCCAAGUGGACAGGGUGGGGGACACAGCACCGAGGUCAGCAGAGGACUGUCUUGUACCUGCUCUGGGUGUUGUGGAAAAAAAAACCUUCAGGGGAAAAAUGUGAAGCAGAGUAAGUAAGAAAAUGCACGUGCAUCUGCGUAUUUCUGCAAAAAGGUGCACAGGAAGGUGGGAUUAGACUAGUAAGACUGAGUUCCUUCAGGGGGCGGGCGGGAGGCAAGUGUCUUAUCUGGGACUUCUUUUGUGUGGUUUUGCCUUUGGGAACCAUGUUAAUAUUACACACUAAAAAAUAAUAUAAUAAAACCAACAAAAAUGAGGAAAGGACACUAAAAGGGAGUAUAAGCAGUAAUAAGGGACUCCUCUAUGUUUCAAAGGAAUGGCAUAACUGCACUGAUGUGAAAAAAAGAAGAGCUCCAAGUAACUUUUGGCCUGGCGCUUUGACUCCACACCCUCAGGCUGAAGGCAAAUGCCCUCCUCUAGUUUGCAGGCUCACUUCUGUUGCGGUAUGGACACCAGUUCCGAGGCAAAGUGCAGCGCACUCUGAGACUAGCGAGUAAGUAUACCAAGGCUGACAGGGGCCAGGUGUCUCUGCGGAGAAGGGGCUCCUAGCACGGGAAGGAGGAGAGUCUCGCUGGGAGCUCCAGGAGUUCCCUGUGUGUUGUACACGCGUGUGCAGAUGUGUGGGCAUGUCGUACAGAUUUAUGGGGGUUGUGUCUAUGCACGUAUGUGCACUUAUGCACAUGCACACAUACGCUUAGAGGAGAGAGAUCUAGAUGUGUGUAGGAGUGCGUAUACAAAGUCGAGCCACUGGGUGUGCCUCUGAAACCGAGUCCCCCUAAACCCGAGCGCCCUUACUGAGUUUAUGACUAAUCUCACCACCCAACACUUUGUUCCCUUUCUUGUGCCCUCAGAGCUCAGUCCUGCACUCACUGAACACUCAUCAACCAGAGUCAGAUGACUAAAACUCCUGUUGUCAAUAAAAUUGCCAAUGUACCCAAA